rnacentral:snRNA from 1 species
UUNUUNCUUUGGCAACAUACAUGCUAAACUUGGAAAGAUUCAGAGAAUGUGUGCAUGGCCCCUGGGUGUGGAUGACAGAAACCGAAGACGCAUUCCAUACUUUG